ACUGAUGUAGCUUAACACUAAGCAUGACAUUGAAAAUGUCAAGAAGGCGCUUUAAAACGCCCAACAGUA
rnacentral:tRNA from 1 species